AUUGAACGCUGGCGGCAUGCCUUACACAUGCAAGUCGAACGGUAACGCGGGGCAACCUGGCGACGAGUGGCGAACGGGUGAGUAAUGUAUCGGAACGUGCCCAGUUGUGGGGGAUAACUGCUCGAAAGAGCAGCUAAUACCGCAUACGACCUGAGGGUGAAAGCGGGGGAUCGCAAGACCUCGCGCAAUUGGAGCGGCCGAUAUCAGAUUAGGUAGUUGGUGGGGUAAAGGCUCACCAAGCCGACGAUCUGUAGCUGGUCUGAGAGGGCGACCAGCCACACUGGGACCGAGACACGGCCCAGACUCCUACGGGAGGCAGCAGUGGGGAAUUUUGGACAAUGGACGCAAGUCUGAUCCAGCCAUGCCGCGUGCGGGAAGAAGGCCUUCGGGUUGUAAACCGCUUUUGUCAGGGAAGAAAAGGCUCCUUCUAAUAUAGGGGGCUCAUGACGGUACCUGAAGAAUAAGCACCGGCUAACUACGUGCCAGCAGCCGCAGUAACAC
rnacentral:rRNA from 1 species